UACGUAGGUGACCAGCGUUGUCCGGAUUUACUGGGCGUAAAGGGCGCGUAGGCGGCCUUCUAAGUCGAACGUGAAAUCCCCGGGCUCAACCCGGGAACUGCGUCCGAUACUGGGAGGCUUGAAUCCGGGAGAGGGAUGUGGAAUUCCAGGUGUAGCGGUGAAAUGCGUAGAUAUCUGGAGGAACACCGGUGGCGAAGGCGGCAUCCUGGACCGGUAUUGACGCUGAGGCGCGAAAGCCAGGGGAGCAAACGGG
rnacentral:rRNA from 1 species